AAUGACUCCUUAAAUUUUUCUCUUUCUAUAUUAAAAAUGGUUGAACAAAUGAACAGAUUAGGGAGAUUUGCGUAUUUGGAUUCUUGAAGGUUGGGACCGAGCCAUUCUUAUUAUGAGCAAGCACAAGGACUGGUUAAAGAGUUGGUGGAAUAUUCAAGAUAGGAAGAUAAGCCAGAAUUGGACAACAUCUAACUUUCAUAUCCAUACCAUCACAAAAUUACCUCAAUGGCUAGCAGGUUUUUCAAUGCAAGCUACGAAGCACAAGCUGGUGGACACCGUAGUGAUUGAUGGGAUUCAGUUGUAGUCACCCACAUUAGUGAUUUUGAUUUUUUAGGAAGGCAGAGAUCCACAGCCAUAGCUGUAGAUCUGGAGCUCGAGCUGUGCAAAUCUAGAGAGAAAUUGUGAAGGUCAGAAACUUGCAGCUAUAGCUGUAGUUCUGCAGCUAUAGCUGUGGAAAUCUG